AGCUCCAAUAGCGUAUAUUAACGUUGUUGCAGUUAAAAAGCUCGUAGUUGGAUUUCUGGCAGGAGCGACCGGUCACACACUCUGUGUGUGAAUUUGUGUUGUCUCUGGCCAUCCUUGGGGAGAUCCUGUUUGGCAUUAAAUUGUCAGGCAGGGGAUACCCAUUGUUUACUGUGAAAAAACAUAGAGUGUUUAAAGCAGGCUUAUGCCGUUGAAUAUAUUAGCAAAGGAUAAUAAGAUAGGACUUCGGAACUAGUUUGUUGGUUUGCAUUACAAAGUAAUGAUUAAUAGGGACAGUUGGGGGUAUUCGUAUUUCGUUGUCAGAGGUGAAAUUCUUUGAUCUCCGAAAGACGAGCUACUGUGAACGCAUUUACCAAGGAUGUUUUCA
rnacentral:rRNA from 1 species